rnacentral:misc_RNA from 1 species
CCCAUGGAUCACUUUUGGUCCCAAAAGGCGUCGCUGGGGGGGAAAUUUCACAGUUUGAGCUGCCGUUGCUGGAUAGGGACCAACUUCCGAUUCCACUAAGUGUCGAUUCAGGUGACCUGGCCGUGACCCACUUUUUCUCAUUAGGCUCAACAAGUUGCUGAGUCAGGCACCGAGUCAAGCCAGCUAGGAAACCAUCAUCAUCACUACUAUCCGUCUCGGUACGACAUACAACAGACUCAACCGGGGAGCUUAGAUCAAAA